UGGGGGAUAUUGCACAAUGGGCGAAAGCCUGAUGCAGCGACGCCGCGUGGGGGAUGAAGGCUUUCGGGUUGUAAACCUCUUUCGCUAUCGAACAAGGCCCGCUUAGGGUGGGUUGAGGGUAGGUGGAGAAGAAGCGCCCGCUAACUACGUGCCAGCAGCCGCGGUAAUACGUAGGGCGCGAGCGUUGUCCGGAAUUAUUGGGCGUAAAGGGCUUGUAGGCGGCUUGUUGCGCCUGCUGUGAAAACGCGGGGCUUAACUUCGCGCGUGCAGUGGGUACGGGCAGGCUUGAGUGUGGUAGGGGUGACUGGAAUUCCAGGUGUAGCGGUGGAAUGCGCAGAUAUCUGGAGGAACACCGAUGGCGAAGGCAGGUCACUGGGCCAUUACUGACGCUGAGGAGCGAAAGCAUGGGUAGCGAACAGG
rnacentral:rRNA from 1 species